UGGGUUGUAGCUCAAUGGUAGAGUGCUUGCUUAGCACGCAUGAGACACUGGAUUCCAUCCUCAGCAUCACAU
rfam:Ictidomys tridecemlineatus contig058577, whole genome shotgun sequence.